rnacentral:rRNA from 1 species
AUUGAACGCUGGCGGCAGGCCUAACACAUGCAAGUCGAGCGGAUGAGGGGAGCUUGCUCCUGGAUUCAGCGGCGGACGGGUGAGUAAUGCCUAGGAAUCUGCCUGGUAGUGGGGGAUAACGUCCGGAAACGGGCGCUAAUACCGCAUACGUCCUGAGGGAGAAAGUGGGGGAUCUUCGGACCUCACGCUAUCAGAUGAGCCUAGGUCGGAUUAGCUAGUUGGCGGGGUAAAGGCCUACCAAGGCGACGAUCCGUAACUGGUCUGAGAGGAUGAUCAGUCACACUGGAACUGAGACACGGUCCAGACUCCUACGGGAGGCAGCAGUGGGGAAUAUUGGACAAUGGGCGAAAGCCUGAUCCAGCCAUGCCGCGUGUGUGAAGAAGGUCUUCGGAUUGUAAAGCACUUUAAGUUGGGAGGAAGGGCAGUAAGUUAAUACCUUGCUGUUUUGACGUUACCAACAGAAUAAGCACCGGCUAACUUCGUG